CAUUAGCGAAGCUCGGAAUGCGUGUUCGGUCUGAUGCUGCCCGGCAACGG
rnacentral:rRNA from 1 species